rnacentral:rRNA from 1 species
CCUACGGGUGGCAGCAGUAGGGAAUCUUCCACAAUGGGCGAAAGCCUGAUGGAGCAACGCCGCGUGGGUGAAGAAGGUCUUCGGAUCGUAAAACCCUGUUGUUAGAGAAGAAAGUGCGUGAGAGUAACUGUUCACGUUUCGACGGUAUCUAACCAGAAAGCAACGCCAAAUUCGUUCCCACCGGCCAGGGUAAUACGUGGUGGCAAGCGUUAUUCGGGUUUUUUUGGCGUAAAGGGAACGGAGGGGGUCUUUUAAGUCUGAUGUGAAAGGCUUCGGCUUAAACGGAGUAGUGCAUUGGAAACUGGGAGACGUGAGUGCAGAAGAGGAGAGUGGAACUCCAUGUGUAGCGGGGAAAUGCGUAGAUAUAUGGAAGAACACCAGUGGCGAAAGCGGCUCUCUGGUCUGUAACUGACGCUGAGGUUCGAAAGCGUGGGUAGCAAACAGGAUUAGAUACCCCUGUAGUC